rnacentral:rRNA from 1 species
UCCGUAAGGGGAACCUGCGGAAGGAUCAUUACCUAGAGUUGUAGGCUUUGCCUGCUAUCUCUUACCCAUGUCUUUUGAGUACCUUACGUUUCCUCGGCGGGUCCGCCCGCCGAUUGGACAAUUUAAACCAUUUGCAGUUGCAAUCAGCGUCUGAAAAAACUUAAUAGUUACAACUUUCAACAACGGAUCUCUUGGUUCUGGCAUCGAUGAAGAACGCAGCGAAAUGCGAUAAGUAGUGUGAAUUGCAGAAUUCAGUGAAUCAUCGAAUCUUUGAACGCACAUUGCGCCCCUUGGUAUUCCAUGGGGCAUGCCUGUUCGAGCGUCAUUUGUACCUUCAAGCUCUGCUUGGUGUUGGGUGUUUGUCUCGCCUCUGCGUGUAGACUCGCCUCAAAACAAUUGGCAGCCGGCGUAUUGAUUUCGGAGCGCAGUACAUCUCGCGCUUUGCACUCAUAACGACGACGUCCAAAAGUACAUUUUUACACUCUUGACCUCGGAUCAGGUAGGGAUACCCGCUGAACUUAAGCAUAUCAAUAGGCCGGAGGA